AGGGAACACCAUUGGAUCACAGAAGAAAGGAAAUGGAGAAUAUACUGGCUCUAGUAAUUUCUGGACCUUAACUACAAGAUUCAGACCCAUCCCACGUUUCUGGAUUUACUCCCCAGAUCUUGGAAAGAGAGUCUCAGGUAUGCCUCAAUUUUCAUUGAUUAAAGUAUCAGACAUCACCAUCUUGUUUCAAGUUUUCUAUAUUAAACACAGUGGGAAAACAAUGUGACAGCAGCAUUGUCAACAUCAUCAACUCUGGAUAAUGAUUCAAAGGAAGAGUAUUUCAAAGCAACUAAUCUAUACAAUAUCCCUUCUGAAAAUAUCAGAGAUAUGACACAAACAGACUCAUGCCCAUCCUGAAUGAAUAUACCGAAUAAGUUAUAAGAAGAUUGAGACAAUAUUCAGCAACACUUGCCCUGUGGAAUGAGAAUCCUAGAUAUAAAUUUAAAUGUAUUUUCUUUCAAAAUUACACGUUUAGUUUUCUUAGAA